rnacentral:rRNA from 1 species
GAUGGUGCUUGCACCUGAUUGACGAUGGAUCACCAGUGAGUGGCGGACGGGUGAGUAACACGUAGGUAACCUGCCCCGGAGCGGGGGAUAACAUUUGGAAACAGAUGCUAAUACCGCAUAACAACAAAAGCCACAUGGCUUUUGUUUGAAAGAUGGCUUUGGCUAUCACUCUGGGAUGGACCUGCGGUGCAUUAGCUAGUUGGUAAGGUAACGGCUUACCAAGGCGAUGAUGCAUAGCCGAGUUGAGAGACUGAUCGGCCACAAUGGAACUGAGACACGGUCCAUACUCCUACGGGAGGCAGCAGUAGGGAAUCUUCCACAAUGGGCGCAAGCCUGAUGGAGCAACACCGCGUGAGUGAAGAAGGGUUUCGGCUCGUAAAGCUCUGUUGUUGGAGAAGAACGUGCGUGAGAGUAACUGUUCACGCAGUGACGGUAUCCAACCAGAAAGUCACGGCUAACUACGUGCCAGCAGCCGCGGUAAUACGUAGGUGGCAAGCGUUAUCCGGAUUUAUUGGGCGUAAAGCGAGCGCAGGCGGUUGCUUAGGUCUGAUGUGAAAGCCUUCGGCUUAACCGAAGAAGUGCAUCGGAAACCGGGCGACUUGAGUGCAGAAGAGGACAGUGGAACUCCAUGUGUAGCGGUGGAAUGCGUAGAUAUAUGGAAGAACACCAGUGGCGAAGGCGGCUGUCUGGUCUGCAACUGACGCUGAGGCUCGAAAGCAUGGGUAGCGAACAGGAUUAGAUACCCUGGUAGUCCAUGCCGUAAACGAUGAGUGCUAGGUGUUGGAGGGUUUCCGCCCUUCAGUGCCGGAGCUAACGCAUUAAGCACUCCGCCUGGGGAGUACGACCGCAAGGUUGAAACUCAAAGGAAUUGACGGGGGCCCGCACAAGCGGUGGAGCAUGUGGUUUAAUUCGAAGCUACGCGAAGAACCUUACCAGGUCUUGACAUCUUGCGCUAACCUUAGAGAUAAGGCGUUCCCUUCGGGGACGCAAUGACAGGUGGUGCAUGGUCGUCGUCAGCUCGUGUCGUGAGAUGUUGGGUUAAGUCCCGCAACGAGCGCAACCCUUGUUACUAGUUGCCAGCAUUAAGUUGGGCACUCUAGUGAGACUGCCGGUGACAAACCGGAGGAAGGUGGGGACGACGUCAGAUCAUCAUGCCCCUUAUGACCUGGGCUACACACGUGCUACAAUGGACGGUACAACGAGUCGCAAGCUCGCGAGAGUAAGCUAAUCUCUUAAAGCCGUUCUCAGUUCGGACUGUAGGCUGCAACUCGCCUACACGAAGUCGGAAUCGCUAGUAAUCGCGGAUCAGCAUGCCGCGGUGAAUACGUUCCCGGGCCUUGUACACACCGCCCGUCACACCAUGGGAGUUUGUAACGCCCAAAGUCGGUGGCCC